GAUGAACGCUAGCGGGAGGCCUAACACAUGCAAGCCGAGCGGUAUUGUUUCUUCGGAAAUGAGAGAGCGGCGUACGGGUGCGUAACACGUGUGCAACCUGCCUUUAUCUGGGGGAUAGCCUUUCGAAAGGAAGAUUAAUACUCCAUAAUAUAUUGAACGGCAUCGUUUAAUAUUGAAAGCUCCGGCGGAUAGAGAUGGGCACGCGCAAGAUUAGCUAGUUGGUGAGGUAACGGCUCACCAAGGCGAUGAUCUUUAGGGGGCCUGAGAGGGUGAUCCCCCACACCGGUACUGAGACACGGACCAGACUCCUACGGGAGGCAGCAGUGAGGAAUAUUGGUCAAUGGGUGCAAGCCUGAACCAGCCAUCCCGCGUGAAGGACGACUGCCCUAUGGGUUGUAAACUUCUUUUGUAUAGGGAUAAACCUACCCUCGGGAGGGUAGCUGAAGGUACUAUACGAAUAAGCACCGGCUAACUCCGUG
rnacentral:rRNA from 1 species